rnacentral:rRNA from 1 species
UACAGAGGUCCCAAGCGUUGUUCGGAUUCACUGGGCGUAAAGGGUGCGUAGGUGGCCGUGGAAGUUUGGUGUGAAAGCUCGGAGCUCAACUCCGAAAUGGCAUUGAAUACUCUACGGCUGGAGGUCGGAGGGGAGACUGGAAUUCUCGGUGUAGCAGUGAAAUGCGUAGAUAUCGAGAGGAACACCAGUGGCGAAGGCGAGUCUCUGGACGACACCUGACACUGAGGCACGAAAGCCAGGGGAGCAAACAGG